rnacentral:rRNA from 1 species
CGACCGGCAAACGGGUGCGGAACACGUACGCAACCUUCCCAGAACAGGUGAAUAGCCCUGCGAAAGUAGGAUUAAUACACCGUAACGUAUAGCUGUGGCAUCACGGUUAUAUAAAAGGCAGCAAUGCCGGUUUUGGAUGGGCGUGCGCCUGAUUAGGUAGUUGGUGCGGGUAACGGCCCACCAAGCCUUCGAUCAGUAACUGGUGUGAGAGCACGACCAGUCACACGGGCACUGAGACACGGGCCCGACUCCUACGGGAGGCAGCAGUAAGGAAUAUUGGUCAAUGGACGGAAGUCUGAACCAGCCAUGCCGCGUGAAGGAUGAAGGCCCUCUGGGUUGUAAACUUCUUUUAUCUGGGACGAAAAAAGGGGAAUCUUCCUCACUUGACGGUACCAGAGGAAUAAGCACCGGCUAACUCCGUGCCAGCAGCCGCGGUAAUACGGAGGGUGCAAGCGUUAUCCGGAUUUACUGGGUUUAAAGGGUGCGUAGGUAGGCGAGAAAGUCAGUGGUGAAAUUUCCGGGCUUAACCCGGAAACUGCCAUUGAUACUAUUAGUCUUGAAUACUUUGGAGGUAAGCGGAAUAUGUCAUGUAGCGGUGACAAUGCUUAGAUCUGACAUAGAACACCAAUUGCGAAAGGCAGCUUACUAAACAGGCAAUUG